CCUACGGGGUGCAGCAGUGGGGAAUAUUGGACAAUGGGCGAAAGCCUGAUCCAGCCAUGCCGCGUGUGUGAAGAAGGCCUUCGGGUUGUAAAGCACUUUCAGUGGGGAAGAAAGCCUUGGGGCUAAUACCCUCGAGGAAGGACAUCACCCACAGAAGAAGCACCGGCUAACUCCGUGCCAGCAGCCGCGGUAAUACGGAGGGUGCGAGCGUUAAUCGGAAUUACUGGGCGUAAAGCGCGCGUAGGCGGUCUGAUAAGCCGGUUGUGAAAGCCCCGGGCUCAGCCUGGGAACGGCAUCCGGAACUGUCAGGCUAGAGUGCAGGAGAGGAAGGUAGAAUUCCCGGUGUAGCGGUGAAAUGCGUAGAGAUCGGGAGGAAUACCAGUGGCGAAGGCGGCCUUCUGGACUGACACUGACGCUGAGGUGCGAAAGCGUGGGUAGCAAACAGGAUUAGAUACCCGAGUAGUC
rnacentral:rRNA from 1 species